rnacentral:rRNA from 1 species
AACGAGGUCCAUUCUGUAGCAAUACAGAGGAAGACCUAGUGGCGAACGGGUGAGGAACACGUGAGGAACCUGCCCCGAACUUUGGGAUAACAGUUGGAAACGACUGCUAAUACCGAAUGCCGUUACGAAGUGGCAUCACUUUGUAACGAAAGAAUUUCGGUUCGGGAGGGCCUCGCGGCCUAUCAGCUAGUUGGUGGGGUAAUGGCCUACCAAGGCAUCGACGGGUAGCUGGUCUGAGAGGACGAUCAGCCACACUGGGACUGAGACACGGCCCAGACUCC